ensembl:lncRNA
AGCAUGCUGACAGGAGAUGUCCCAGCACCCACUGGAGGUUUGUCACCAUCAGUGACACAUGUUCCUGCAACUCCUUUGGUGCUGGGAACAGAAGCACCUUCCUCAGCCACCAGCACAGCGAAUGAUGACAAUGGGUUGGGGCAGCCUCACAGUGCUGUCACUGCGGAGGGGACACCGGGGACAGCACAGGCCACGGUGCUGUCUGAUGUCCAACACAGCACAGGGACACCACCCCACUCCCUCACCUGGAUCCCAGCUGAGCUGCACACAGCCGCUGUGCGCCUGUCCCAGGAGGUAAUGCCAGGGCUGGCCGAGGCCACCUCUCCUCUUGUCACAGCAGCCAGUGUCACUGCGGGGGACACAGAGCCUGCGUCAACCAUGUCUGACCGUGACACAUCUCCCACCGUGCCAGCAACCACAGGGUCUCCCCAUCAUGAUGGAGUACAGAAGUCAGAUACCAUGAUCCUUCCAGGCAGUGUCUCAGCAACAAUCACCCCUUCUCCUGCCACCGAUGGUGUCAGUGAGGCCACAGCCCCAGGGCUGCCAGCCCCUGGCUCAGCUGGAGAUGGGCUGCACCGAGAGAUCACUGUCACCCAUCCACAUGUCACCCAUCUU